UACGGGGGGGGGCAAGCGUUGUUCGGAAUUACUGGGCGUAAAGGGCUCGUAGGCGGCCAACUAAGUCAGACGUGAAAUCCCUCGGCUCAACCGUGGAAGUGCACUCGAAACUGCAUAGCUAGAGUCCUGGAGAGGAAGGUGGAAUGCUUGGUGUAGAGGUGAAAUUCGUAGAUAUCAAGCGGAACACCGGUGGCGAAGGCGGCCUUCUGGACAGUGACUGACGCUGAGACGCGAAAGCGUGGGGAGCAAACAGGG
rnacentral:rRNA from 1 species